UGCAGUCGACGAUGAUGCCCAGCUUGCUGGGUGGAUUAGUGGCGAACGGGUGAGUAACACGUGAGUAACCUGCCCCUGACUCUGGGAUAAGCGUUGGAAACGACGUCUAAUACUGGAUAUGAUCACUGGCCGCAUGGUCUGGUGGUGGAAAGAUUUUUUGGUUGGGGAUGGACUCGCGGCCUAUCAGCUUGUUGGUGAGGUAAUGGCUCACCAAGGCGACGACGGGUAGCCGGCCUGAGAGGGUGACCGGCCACACUGGGACUGAGACACGGCCCAGACUCCUACGGGAGGCAGCAGUGGGGAAUAUUGCACAAUGGGCGAAAGCCUGAUGCAGCAACGCCGCGUGAGGGAUGACGGCCUUCGGGUUGUAAACCUCUUUUAGUAGGGAAGAAGCGAAAGUGACGGUACCUGCAGAAAAAGCACCGGCUAACUACGUGCCAGCAGCCGCGGUAAUACGUAGGGUGCAAGCGUUGUCCGGAAUUAUUGGGCGUAAAGAGCUCGUAGGCGGUUUGUCGCGUCUGCUGUGAAAUCCCGAGGCUCAACCUCGGGCUUGCAGUGGGUACGGGCAGACUAGAGUGCGGUAGGGGAGAUUGGAAUUCCUGGUGUAGCGGUGGAAUGCGCAGAUAUCAGGAGGAACACCGAUGGCGAAGGCAGAUCUCUGGGCCGUAACUGACGCUGAGGAGCGAAAGCAUGGGGAGCGAACAGGAUUAGAUACCCUGGUAGUCCAUGCCGUAAACGUUGGGCGCUAGAUGUAGGGACCUUUCCACGGUUUCUGUGUCGUAGCUAACGCAUUAAGCGCCCCGCCUGGGGAGUACGGCCGCAAGGCUAAAACUCAAAGGAAUUGACGGGGGCCCGCACAAGCGGCGGAGCAUGCGGAUUAAUUCGAUGCAACGCGAAAGAACCUUACCAAGGCUUGACAUACACCGGAAAACGGCCCAGAGAUGGUCGCCCCCCUU
rnacentral:rRNA from 1 species